rnacentral:misc_RNA from 1 species
GAUGAAGAACGUAGCGAAAUGCGAUACGUAAUGUGAAUUGCAGACGUCAGUGAAUCAUCGAAUCUUUGAACGCACAUUGCGCCCGCCAGCAUUCUGGCGGGCAUGCCUGUUCGAGCGUCAUUUCAACCCUCAAGCUCUGCUUGGUGUUGGGGCCCUACGUCUGACGUAGGCCCUCAAAGACAGUGGCGGACCCUCUCGGAGCCUCCUUUGCGUAGUAACUAACGUCUCGCACUGGGAUUCGGAGGGACUCUUGCCGUAAAACCCCCAAUUUUUACAGGUUGACCUCGGAUCAGGUAGGAAUACCCGCUGAACUUAAGCAUAUCAAUAAGCGGAGGA